ensembl:lncRNA
UUGACGGUCUGUUCUGCAAAGCAUUCUGAAUCCACUUCUCUGUCUUAAAAGGAUCGUAAAUUUCAAUGUCCUUUAUUUGACUCGGUGGGAUAUAGCUGUUGUAAGUAAUAGGGCACAGAUGUGCAGUUGUAUCUUGUUUAAUGGCAUUUCACUGUUCAUUCCCUUUGCCACCGUUAAAAAUUUUGCUUUAUUGUAAUUAUCAGUGCAAAGUGUAUUUACCAUGGUAGAACUCCGGUGUUAGAAUAGUUUUUUUCUUACAAUAUGAUUUCUUUGGUUAGAUUUGUGUAUGUGUUGCCGAUUACAUUAGAAAUUGGUGUUAAGUCAUUAUUUAUCACAUUCUUUCAUGAGAGCAGUAAUAAAAGUGUGUAAUCUAGGAGAAAAAGUUAAUUUGUCAAAGUUAGGUAAGCAUGAUGUUUAGGUCCUAUUUUUCAGUUUUAUAACUGUUCUACUGCAACAAUAUUUGUAUUUAAGUCUUCAUUUUAAUGCCUUGUGGUGUUUUUUUUAUGCAUGUCACUGAAUUGUCAUCCCGCAAGAAUUGAUGUGCAGCAUAGGGUGUUAAAUCUACAUAAUGAUUUUGAAACAGAAAAAUAGUUGAUGGAUAAAAAAAAAAAUGUAAAUGUUUUGCAAAAAUUCCUUAUAAAAAGUUUUGUAGUAAUAUUUCACUUGUAAAUUUUUCUAAGAAAAAACAUGGAAAAGGAAAAAAAUGAAAAGAGUAACAUUUCCCCACAUCUAGAACUUAAUUCUGCCAGCAAAGCCUGUAAGGCAUUAAUUUGACACUUUUACAAUGCUGAUUUGUAUGAUUUUUUGGUGGGUUUGGAACUAAAAUCGUGUACAAGUUGUUGCCUGCAAUAACAUUUUGCAAGUAACCUAUUAAAAUUCCCUUGAGUUUAAAAGGUUUCUUCAUUUAAUUACUUAUAAAGCAGCAGUGAAUUAUAUCCGAAUGAUAAUCUGUUCAUCGAGAACACCAGAAAGCAAAUGCUUCUCAAUGGGGAAAGGUUGGCAGCAGCUUCUGGAUUUGUAUAAUUAAGACCUAUGCUUGAUGGUCAGCGUUUCCCAACUGGCAGGCUCCUAGCAGGGAGAUAAAACAGCAGAUUCCAGCUCGGCGUGGAUCCAGUUAGGUUUGUUCAACUCUUGGGAAUGGAAGUUAUUCCUGCCCAUACUGAAGGAGUGACGGAAGGGAAAACUUCUCUAAAGGUAAGGAACAGGAACGCCCAUCUGGUGUGCACACACACGCAAAUAAAUUGAUAUAGAGAGAAAUAGAUAAUAGAAGUGUCACGAUUGUAUUGCAGAAAGGAAAUGAACAGAGUGAAGUAAUGGAAAGCUGAAUGAACUGACUUCAACUUGUAGAAACUAUACUGAGCUUUGUUCUUAGUGAAUUGUCAGUGGGCUCCUGCAUUGUCUUGGACUCAACUUUGAUGGUAUACUAAACUGCUAAUCGUAAAAGUACAAUAGCUGCUAGCUUUGGGUUUUUAUACUGAAAGAACUUAUUUUGAAGGUAAGCCUUCAAAAAGUGCAGUAGUCUUGAAGAGAAUGUGUAAUAAUAUUUCACAGAUUAAGAAAUAAGUAACCAGAAGACCAUUUGCUUGUUCAGUCUUGCAAGAGAAAAUGGUAUUUAAAAUUUCUGAUUUUAUCUGUCCUGCUGCAGGACAGAAUCCUCUUCUAAUUCAGACCUACGGUCACUUAUCUGUACUGUAUGUUUGAAAUGCUGCUUUUAAGUCACAUUAACCUUCUAAUGUCAAACAAACUUAGCUAACCGAAGCCAAAAUAUGUCAUAAUUUAAAGUAAAUUCAUCUG